rnacentral:rRNA from 1 species
AUUGAACGCUAGCGGGAUGCUUUACACAUGCAAGUCGAACGGCAGCGCGGACUUCGUUCUGGCGGCGAGUGGCGAACGGGUGAGUAAUGUAUCGGAACGUGCCCAGUAGCGGGGGAUAACUACGCGAAAGCGUAGCUAAUACCGCAUACGCCCUACGGGGGAAAGCAGGGGAUCGUAAGACCUUGCACUAUUGGAUCGGCCGAUAUCGGAUUAGCUAGUUGGUGAGGUAACGGCUCACCAAGGCGACGAUCCGUAGCAGGUUUGAGAGGACGACCAGCCACACUGGGACUGAGACACGGCCCAGACUCCUACGGGAGGCAGCAGUGGGGAAUUUUGGACAAUGGGGGCAACCCUGAUCCAGCAAUCCCGCGUGUGCGAUGAAGGCCUUCGGGUUGUAAAGCACUUUUGGCAGGAAAGAAACGUCGCGGGCUAAUACCCCGUGGAACUGACGGUACCUGCAGAGUAAGCACCGGCUAACUACGUG